rnacentral:tRNA from 1 species
AUUUAAGUAGUUUAAUUAAAACAUUGACUUGUGGUGUCAAAAAUAUACAGGCAGUAUUUUAAGUA